UAGACCUACGGGAGGCAGCAGUGGGGAAUAUUGCACAAUGGGGGAAACCCUGAUGCAGCGACGCCGCGUGAAGGAUGAAGUAUUUCGGUAUGUAAACUUCUAUCAGCAGGGAAGAAAAUGACGGUACCUGACUAAGAAGCCCCUGCUAACUACGUGCCAGCAGCCGCGGUAAUACGUAGGGGGCAAGCGUUAUCCGGAUUUACUGGGUGUAAAGGGAGCGUAGACGGCAGUGCAAGUCCGGAGUG
rnacentral:rRNA from 1 species